rnacentral:rRNA from 1 species
UACGGGGGGGGCAAGCGUUGUUCGGAAUUACUGGGCGUAAAGGGCUCGUAGGUGGCCAACUAAGUCAGACGUGAAAUCCCUCGGCUUAACCGGGGAACUGCGUCUGAUACUGGAUGGCUUGAGUUCGGGAGAGGGAUGCGGAAUUCCAGGUGUAGCGGUGAAAUGCGCAGAUAUCAGGAGGAACACCGAUGGCGAAGGCAGGUCUCUGGGCCACUACUGACGCUGAGAAGCGAAAGCGUGGGGAGCGAACAGG